rnacentral:lncRNA from 1 species
GUGAAUUUGCGGGACACCAUUCAGCCCAGAGCACUGACUGGUGCUAGUUAUAUUUGUGUGUCUGGCUGUACCCUGUGAUCACCUGGUUGAUGUCAUGUUCCUGAACUUUUGUGAGUGCAAGAGAAGAGAAGUGAUGGGAGCAGAAUGGGAAUGUCUUCUGCACAUAGAAAUGGAGUGAACGCCUCGUGGACUUCAGGCUUUCAGAGCACGAAUUGUCGCAGGUGCUUUCUCCUCUUAACAGUGUUUGCCAAUAUUUGUUUCUCCCCUCCUGUCUUGGGUACCAAGGCUCUCCUCAAUGCCUCUGUCCUUCUCCCUUUUGACAUUGCCACCAGGACUUAAGAAGGUCAGGGAGGUUGCCCGCAAUGUGCCUGCUGUAAGUAAGAGUGUCCCGGCUGUGAGGACCACCAUGUCGCAUAGAUGGGGCCUGCUGGAGGUGCUGCUGGCAGAUUUGUGGGCCUAAUUCUGGCUUUGGGGAAGGGCAAAGCCCUGUUCUCAUGAGUAGAGGGGUCGCACAGAAUCCUCAGCGCGUAUCCUGCUAAUUGCUGUAGCCCCUCCUAGUAACUCUUAAUAAACACGACUGGUCAUGCACAGAAUGCAAAACCCUUUUCUCUCUGUUGGCAGUUUCUCAGGCUGAGAAAAAAACAUCAGUGUGGGGGAAGAUUUGGGACCCCUGUCUGCAUCUACCUGGACUCUCAUUAAACAGAUGAUGUGAUGAAGCAAUCAGAAAGCCUGGCCAGCUGCUCACCUCCAGGGCAGCUUCUUGGGAAGACAGUGAACAAUUCUGGGGGUUAAGAACUGUUUUUAAAAGAAAACACUAGGGAGGCUGGGGCAGGAGGAUCGUUUGAGGCCCAGGAGUUGGACGCUGCAGCUAGCUAUGAUUGUACCACUGCACUCCAGACUGGGUGACAGAGCAAGACCUUGUCUCUAAAAAAUAAAUAAAUUAACCUUUAAAAACCAAGCGCAAGGUUA